rnacentral:rRNA from 1 species
UGAGGAAUAUUGGUCAAUGGGCGCAAGCCUGAACCAGCCAUCCCGCGUGCAGGAAGACGGCCCUAUGGGUUGUAAACUGCUUUUCCAGGGGGAGAAUUUUUCUGUCGUGACAGGAAUUGACGGUACCCUGGGAAUAAGCAUCGGCUAAAUCCGUGCCAGCAGCCGCGUUAAUACGGAGGAUACGAGCGUUAUCCGGAUUUAUUGGGUUUAAAGGGUGCGUAGGCGGAUUGAUAAGUCAGUGCUGAAAACCUGCAGCUUAACUGUAGACUUGACGUUGAUACUGUCAGUCUUGAGUGUGGUCAAGGUAGGCGGAAUGUGUAAUGUAGCGGUGAAAUGCUUAGAUAUUACACAGAACACCGAUUGCGAAGGCAGCUUACUGGGCCAUUACUGACGCUGAUGCACGAAAGCGUGGGGAUCGAACAG